GGGUCUCACCACAUUGCCCAGGCUGGACUCAAAUUCCUCAAAUGAUCCUUCCAUCUUAGCCUCCCAAAUAGCUGGGACUACAGGUAUGAGCCACUGUACCCAAGGGUUUUUCUUUCAAUAUGUAUGUGACCAGCUGACUUACCACCUUCACAGUCUUAUAUCACUGUAUUCAUUUAUCAGGAUUAUUACAUAUAGAGGGUAAAAGACAUAGGCCUAUAUAUUUACUGAGAUGUUACAAUAAUUUCAAAGCACAGUGUCACCCUGGAAAAGUCACAUGGCAAGUUGAAUGAUUUUCAAAAGCCCCAGGCCCCCAACACUUUACCUUAACCUCCUUGGAGCUACUGGAAGUCUUCCCUUCGGUCUUCUUCUGCUUUGAUGUGGAGGAACUGUUUUUGCUGCUGCCACUCGUCUCCUUGUUGCUGUUACUGCUUGACUUUAAGGAAGAAGACUGACUAAUAGUCCUCUUCCGAGAGCCAUGCUCUGUUUUUGGAUCUUUUGAAGGAACAGGCCCAGCGGGAGAAGGCAACAAAUCCUUUUCUUUUGCAGCACUCUGCUUAGAUGACCUGCCAAACCAAACGAAUGCCUUCAUUUCUCCACACAGUAAUACAGGGGAGAGAACAUUCGUUGCCGAAAAAAGCUAUCUUCUUCCUCCACUGAGGAGGGUUUAACAGGAGUCCUAUUGCUCUCGGGGUACUUAGGAGUUUGUGAGGAAGGAGGAAGGCUCUCACUUUCAUCUGAAUCUGAGGAUGAGGUAUCUGUUUCUAUGAUUUCCCUUGAUUUCUGGGAAGAUUUACUUGUUGACUUAUAUUUCUUUUUCUCUGCUGUAGGUCGAGGGGAAGACUUAGACUCCUUCUUUAUAUUGGGUUUCCUUGAGCCUUUGGUGGCUGCUUUGUGUCUGCUGGAGGGCAUGCUGCUAGCCAAGUCUACAGGGGUUUCACUUUCUAUCUUCAGGCCUCCACGAGGCUCUUCAGCAGCUGCCUUCUCAGCCUUUUUGGGUUGUUUUUUGCCUACAGUUCUUCUCUGUGUUGUGCUGUCACUCUGUGCAGGAGAUUUCUGCCUCCCACGCCCACUUUCUGAUCCCUUUUGGAUGGUUUUGGAGUCUCGUCCCGGAGUAGCGGAACUCGUUUCUUUAGGUCCACUUGUAUCAGUGUAGCUAUUCCCAGUGCCCUGCUCUCGGCCUUCCUUUUUGUAGCCUUGAGAUGAUGGGAUGUUACUGUCCACUGAAGAGGCGGGUGACACUUUAUGUGGGUUCACUUUAUUCAGCCAAUUAUCAAGUUGCCAUUUGUUUGUUGGCGGGGGUUCAGGCUGAAAAACAGAGAAAUAUGUAUGCUUUUUUCGAUACUGAAUGCUUUUUUCGUUCUCCCUCCUUUACAACCUCAAAGAAGAGGAAAAACCACAAUGCCUAAUGCAACAAAAGCAAAUGGUUCUCUAUGAACCAAAGCAAAGGGCUGAGUAUUGACUAUUAGCUCUUAUCAUCUGAAUAAGAAGAUAAGUGGCCAGGCACGGUGGCUCACACCUGUAAUCCCAGCACUUUGGGAGGCUGAGGUGGGCGGAUCAUGAGAUCAGGAGUUUGAGACCAG
rnacentral:lncRNA from 1 species